CUUGUAGUACAAGGAAAUUAAAGGUCUUCUGGACAAUGUUUCCCUCUUGUCCGGAACUCUUGCCUUCAUUAUGUUAUUGUAGAUCCUGGUACCGGAUUUCCGGUGGUUCGCUUUCGUCUUGUGAACGGUUUGUUUUGUGAGAGUUGCAACUUGGUCGUACCAAUACUUGAAAGGAUUUUGUGGAAGUGCAAAUUGAAAGGAAAAAAAAAUCAACAAUCUGAAUUUGCGAAGAGCUCAAUGAUAUUUCGCUUUGAUCAUCUACAUUUAGCAAUUGUAAAAAUUAAAGGAAACUAUACCAUAUCGCUUCGCUCAUCUCCUACAGGUGCUGAAAGACCACUUGGUUCAUGAGUUGGCGUCCCUUACCUUGCCAUAGACAAACAUCAAAACCCACAACCAAGUUCACUAUAAAAUGCACAAAAUAAAAAAUAACAACCAAACCCACAAAUUUAAUCGAACACUUCUACAAACUCUAGAAAAAAAUUACUAAAUCUCAGAUAAAAUAACCUCAAAAGCACCCAGAAAUUUAAUGAAGAAUUCUCUAAAACCAGAAGUUUAAACCAGAAAUUCCAGAGUCAUAAAAAUUUUACUAAAUAAAUUUGACCAAUUUAAUGUUGUCUAUAUUAAGGGAAAACCAAUAGUCAUUAACUAGAAAAUAUGCACGCGCGUUGCUGCGGUACUUGAAUGCAUCACCAUGAACUGCAUGAAUAAGAUACAUUUUACCUGAAUAAAUUCAACACAAUCAUGAAUGAACUGAGGGAUAGAUGAGUGAAUGGGGCAGGUAAGAUAUGCAGCUUCGUUUUUAUAUACAUUCAACUUAGCUGACAUGAAAAGACAUUGUACAAUUAACAGGACAAAACUGAACGUUUUGUUUCCCUGAUAAACAGAAGCAACAUGCAGUUCACACAAAUCUUGCCCCUGCAGUCAAGGUGGCAAAAUAUAUAACCUGUAGGUUAGGCACAUGUGUUAGCAGUUGACAAAAAAAUAUAAAAACUGUUUCGUUCUUAUUCUAGCAUCUAAGUUUUCAAGCACAAACAUGCAAAGCAAAAAACAUGCAGGAUGCCUGUUUCCAUAAGAAACAGAAGUCUAAGAAGUGUAUUUUAGUUUAGAGAACAUGCAUGUAUUUUCUAAUAGCGAAAACAUGAGCAAAUAUGAUUGGACAAAAACAUAUAAUGGGCAGAAACAUGAGAGAAAAAUCCAAACCUCAAGAAUAUGAUUGUAUUACAGCAAAUACGAUUGGGUUGUACUCGAGGAUCAAAUGGGGACUUGAGAUUUUGGUAACUGUGUAGAAGAAAAUGAACACCAAUGGAACAUUCCUAGAAACUAACCCUCAAACCCAUCCAAAUCAGAUCAACUAAUCAACCAAAUUAGCCCAAUCAGUAACCCUAAAUUUGCUCAACCAAAUUUGCCAAAUCAAUAAUCCUUAAGGAUAAGAUUAUUUUUAACUAUACACAAAUUCACAUGCUAGUCAUUUGAUACAUUUAACUAAUUUUGCAAGUUGUAUUUCUUUAAAUGGGAAUGAAAAUGUAACUUUUGGUCUUAUACUUUCAGAACCAAUACACAUCUCAAAUGUGGGAGUCUCAAAAGUUGUUUCAUUUAUUUCAUUCCAAAUAAAUUUUUUGUUUGGACAGAUAUUCGAACAAAAUACUCUCUGAUUGACACUCACUUAAACACCUUAGAAAGAACUCACGUUUCUCUACCUGAAAAGGAGUUCAAGGAUAUGAAAAAACUACUUAAUAUCAAAAGCAUAAACCACACUCGGUACAAUCAAUAACUAAACUAACAAUAUAUUCAACAAUGUAUCAAAAACACCAUCAAAUUAAACACAUUUAAACCAUAAAAACCAAAGGAACAAACCAUAUAAUUAAUGAGUGGUGAGUGCAGACUUUCUGGAAUUCAGGGCACCAAUUAUCCUAACAGAGAACCUGUUUUGGUCAUCCACCUUUGCCAUUUCCCCCUCAUCCCCUGAAUCCUUAUUGCCUGCACGUUCCAACGCCGUCUCAUG
rnacentral:lncRNA from 1 species